UGGGGGAUAUUGCACAAUGGGCGAAAGCCUGAUGCAGCGACGCCGCGUGGGGGAUGAAGGCCUUCGGGUUGUAAACUUCUUUUGCUCUGAACAAGGCGCACCAUGGGGUGUGUUGAGUGUAGGGGUUUAUUAGCGCCGGCUAACUACGUGCCAGCAGCCGCGGUAAUACGUAGGGCGCGAGCGUUGUCCGGAAUUAUUGGGCGUAAAGGGCUUGUAGGUGGCUGGUUGCGUCUGUCGUGAAAGCUCAUGGCUUAACUGUGGGUUUGCGGUGGGUACGGGCUGGCUUGAGUGCAGUAGGGGAGGCUGGAAUUCCUGGUGUAGCGGUGGAAUGCGCAGAUAUCAGGAGGAAUACCGGUGGCGAAGGCGGGUCUCUGGGCUGUUACUGACACUGAGGAGCGAAAGCAUGGGGAGCGAACAGG
rnacentral:rRNA from 1 species